rnacentral:rRNA from 1 species
UCGGGAAUUUUGGGCAAUGGGCGAAAGCCUGACCCAGCAACGCCGCGUGAAGGAUGAAGUAUUUCGGUAUGUAAACUUCGAAAGAAUAGGAAGAAUAAAUGACGGUACUAUUUAUAAGGUCCGGCUAACUACGUGCCAGCAGCCGCGGUAAUACGUAGGGACCAAGCGUUGUUCGGAUUUACUGGGCGUAAAGGGCGCGUAGGCGGCCCUCUAAGUCAGACGUGAAAUCCCCCGGCUUAACCUGGGAACUGCGUCUGAUACUGGAGGGCUUGAGUAUGGGAGAGGGAUGUAGAAUUCCAGGUGUAGCGGUGAAAUGCGUAGAUAUCUGGAGGAAUACCGGUGGCGAAGGCGGCAUCCUGGACCAUUACUGACGCUGAGGCGCGAAAGCUAGGGGAGCAAACGGGAUUAGAUACCCGAGUAGUCCCUGAGCGGGCUGGCAAGGCGCAU